rnacentral:rRNA from 1 species
AUUGAACGCUGGCGGCAUGCCUUACACAUGCAAGUCGAACGGCAGCACGGGAGCAAUCCUGGUGGAGAGUGGCGAACGGGUGAGUAAAGUAUCGGAACGUGCCCAGUCGUGGGGGAUGACGUAGCGAAAGUUACGCUAAUACCGCAUACGACCUAUGGAUGAAAGCGGGGGAUCGCAAGCCCUCGCGCGAUUGGAGCGGCCGAUAUCAGAGUAGGUAGUUGGUGGGGUAAAGGUUCACCAGGCCGACGAUCUGUAGCGGGUCUGAGAGGACGACCAGCCACACUGGGACUGAGACACGGCCCAGACUCCUACGGGAGGCAGCAGUGGGGAAUUUUGGACAAUGGGCGCAAGCCUGAUCCAGCCAUGCCGCGUGCAGGAUGAAGGCCUUCGGGUUGUAAACUGCUUUUGUACGGAACGAAAAGGUUUGACUUAAUACGUUGGACUCAUGACGGUACCGUAAGAAUAAGCACCGGCUAACUACGUGCCAGCCGCCGCCGUAA